CCUGAAAAUGAAUCAACUGCAUACAACAAUCUUGGCAGCAAAAAAAGUGGCUCAAUGUUCAGAGAGCUGCUCAACGGUGGUCUUGUAAAUGAACAACCCACAAUUACAAUGAAAACAAGCAACCUAGCAGCUGCUGGCAUCCAAAUAAGAGUAGAAGACUGCAUCAAUUUUAGGCCCGAUUCCUUGGAAGUUCUUGGUAAUCAGUUUGGGAUAACCAGG
rnacentral:lncRNA from 1 species